UCCGUGGUGGUCCAGUGGCUAGAACUCAGCAUUGUCACUUCUGAGGGCCCAGGUUCAAUCCCUGGUUGGGGAA
rnacentral:tRNA from 1 species